CGUGCCUAAUACAAUGCAAGUCGAGCGAGCGGAACUAACAGAUUUACUUCGGUAAUGACGUUAGGAAAGCGAGCGGCGGAUGGUGAGUAACACGUGGGGGAACCUGCCCCACUAGUCUGGGGAUACCACUUGGGAAACAGGUGCUAUACCGGAUAAGAAAGCAGAUCGCAUGAUCAGCUUUUAAAAAGGCGGCGUAAAGCUGUCGCUAUGGGGAUGGGCCCCGCGGUGCAUUAGCUAGUUGGUAAAGUAAAGGGCUUACCAAGGCGAUGAUGCAUAGCCCGAGUUGAGAGACUGAUCGGCCACAUUGGGGACUGAGACACGGGCCCAAACUCCUACGGGAGGCAGCAGUAGGGAAUCUUCCACAAUGGACGCAAGUCUGAUGGAGCAAACGCCGCGUGAGUGAAGAAGGUUUUCGGAUCGUAAAAAGCUCUGUUGUUGGUGAAGAAGGAUAGAGGUAGUAACUGGCCCUUUAUUUGACGGUAAUCAACCCAGAAAGUCACGGGCUAACUACGUGCCCAGCAGCCGCGGUAAAU
rnacentral:rRNA from 1 species